GAUGAAGAACGCAGUGAAAUGCGAUAAGUAAUGUGAAUUGCAGAAUUCAGUGAAUCAUCGAAUCUUUGAACGCAUCUUGCGCUCCUUGGUAUUCCGAGGAGCAUGCCUGUUUGAGUGUCAUUUAACUUCUCAACCACAUUGGAUAUUUUUUUUCCGAUGCCGGCUUGGAUGUGGGGGUUGUUUGCAGGCUUUUUGUAACAAAAAAGGUCGGCUCCCCUGAAAUGUAUUAGUGGUAUCUGAGGCUAUUACUAUUAGGUGUGAUAAUUAUCUAUGCCUUUUGGGUAUGCCGCAUGAACAGAUUAUGCUGCUUCUAACGAAAACUAUUUUGAUGAAUUUGACCUCAAAUCAGGUAGGACUACUCGCUGAACUUAAGCAUAUCAAUAAGCGGAGGA
rnacentral:misc_RNA from 1 species